ensembl:piRNA 21ur-10468 ncRNA
UAAUGUCUACCUUCUGAACCG